AUUGUUGAUGCCCACGAGAACAAGACAGACGAAAGCGAACUCGUGAACCCUCGUUCUCGGCCCGCACGCCGGGGCGGCGCCUUGCACGUGCCGGGCAACGACGAACCAAAUCCCGGCGCAGGACGCGCCAAGCAACUCUGGAAGCUUUUGAUUGCGGCGUCCUCUUCCCCGUCGGGCCGGAGGGCGCGCAUCGAGCACUUACGAGUCAGUACGACUCUCGGCAACGGAUAUCUCGGCUCUCGCAUCGAUGAAGAACGUAGCGAAAUGCGAUACUUGGUGUGAAUUGCAGAAUCCCGCGAACCAUCGAGUCUUUGAACGCAAGUUGCGCCCGUGGCCUUUCGGUCGAGGGCACAUCUGCUUGGGCGUUAAACAACUCGUCCCCCAACCCCCCCCCCCUUCUACCUCCACGCCCCGAGUGUGAGGGGUCUGGCCGAGAGGAGAGGUAGGUUGGGCGGAGUCUGGUCGUCCGUGUGCUCGCUGCGCAUGCGGUUGGCUGAAAAGCCUGGUGGGCCACGGGCUGCGUGCGGCUCAACGAGUGGUGGUUGUGCGCCCCUGCGAGGCCACGAUUGUCAGCGCGUUGCGCCGUUCCCUCCUCGAUUGCCCAGCAAAGUACCCUACACAAUCGAAGCAUCCCAAUCCAGGGAUCGAUUCGAAUUGCAACCCCAAGUCAGGUGGGACUACCCGC
rnacentral:rRNA from 1 species